AGUCGAGCGGAGAUGAGGUGCUUGCACCUUAUCUUAGCGGCGGACGGGUGAGUAAUGCUUAGGAAUCUGCCUAUUAGUGGGGGACAACAUUCCGAAAGGAAUGCUAAUACCGCAUACGUCCUACGGGAGAAAGCAGGGGAUCUUCGGACCUUGCGCUAAUAGAUGAGCCUAAGUCGGAUUAGCUAGUUGGUGGGGUAAAGGCCUACCAAGGCGACGAUCUGUAGCGGGUCUGAGAGGAUGAUCCGCCACACUGGGACUGAGACACGGCCCAGACUCCUACGGGAGGCAGCAGUGGGGAAUAUUGGACAAUGGGGGGAACCCUGAUCCAGCCAUGCCGCGUGUGUGAAGAAGGCCUUAUGGUUGUAAAGCACUUUAAGCGAGGAGGAGGCUACUGAGACUAAUACUCUUGGAUAGUGGACGUUACUCGCAGAAUAAGCACCGGCUAACUCUGUGCCAGCAGCCGCGGUAAUACAGAGGGUGCGAGCGUUAAUCGGAUUUACUGGGCGUAAAGCGUGCGUAGGCGGCUUUUUAAGUCGGAUGUGAAAUCCCCGGGCUUAACUUGGGAAUUGCAUUCGAUACUGGGAAGCUAGAGUAUGGGAGAGGAUGGUAGAAUUCCAGGUGUAGCGGUGAAAUGCGUAGAGAUCUGGAGGAAUACCGAUGGCGAAGGCAGCCAUCUGGCCUAAUACUGACGCUGAGGUACGAAAGCAUGGGGAGCAAACAGGAUUAGAUACCCUGGUAGUCCAUGCCGUAAACGAUGUCUACUAGCCGUUGGGGCCUUUGAGGCUUUAGUGGCGCAGCUAACGCGAUAAGUAGACCGCCUGGGGAGUACGGUCGCAAGACUAAAACUCAAAUGAAUUGACGG
rnacentral:rRNA from 1 species